rnacentral:rRNA from 1 species
AACGAACGCUGGCGGCAGGCCUAACACAUGCAAGUCGAGCGAAGCCUUCGGGCUUAGCGGCGGACGGGUGAGUAACGCGUGGGAACGUGCCCUUGGUUAGGGAUUGCCCCGGGAAACCUGGGGGAAUUCCCGUAGGUGGCCGGAGGACGAAAGAUUAAUCGCCAAAGGAUCGGCCCGCGUUGGAUUAGGUAGUUGGUGGGGUAAUGGCCUACCAAGCCGACGAUCCAUAGCUGGUUUGAGAGGAUGAUCAGCCACACUGGGACUGAGACACGGCCCAGACUCCUACGGGAGGCAGCAGUGGGGAAUCUUAGACAAUGGGGGAAACCCUGAUCUAGCCAUGCCGCGUGAUCGAUGAAGGCCUUAGGGUUGUAAAGAUCUUUCAGUGGGGAAGAUAAUGACUGUACCCACAGAAGAAGCCCCGGCUAACUCCGUGCCAGCCGCCGCCGUAAGAC